GUCCACGCCCUAAACGAUGGCAACUGGGUGUUGGGGAAGCGAUUCCUUGGUACCGUAGCUAACGCGUGAAGUUGCCCGCCUGGGGAGUACGGCCGCAAGGUUAAAACUCAAAGGAAUUGACGGGGACCCGCACAAGCUGUGGAUGAUGUGGAUUAAUUCGAUGCAACGCGAACAACCUUACCUACCCUUGACAUGUCCGGAACCCUGCUGAGAGGUGGGGGUGCCCGAAAGGGAAUCGUAACACAGGUGCUGCAUGGCUGUCGU
rnacentral:rRNA from 1 species